AAACUUUCAACAACGGAUCUCUUGGCUCUAGCAUCGAUGAAGAACGCAGCGAAAUGCGAUAAGUARUGUGAAUUGCAGAAUUCAGUGAAUCRUCGAAUCUUUGAACGCACAUUGCGCCUGGCAGUAUUCUGCCAGGCAUGCCUGUCCGAGCGUCAUUU
rnacentral:rRNA from 1 species